rnacentral:lncRNA from 1 species
GCGCUAAUGAAAAUGGUUUUGGAUGCAUCUAAAACCAAUCUCUAGACAAAUGCAAACAAAUUAGCCAAUUUAUAGCUCAUGAGAAUGGUUUCGGACGCGUCCAAAACCAACCCUGCGAGAAAAUGCAAAUCAAUUGACCAAUAUGUCCAAAACUAUCCUGGAGAAGUGGAAACCAAUUCGCUGAUUUUAGCAAAAAAUCCCCAGACAAAUCAGCCGAUUUUAGCGCUGAUGGAAAUGGUUUUGGAUGCGUCCAAAACCAAUCUCUUGGAUGCAUCCCAAACCAUUUUAAAUCGGUAAAUUGAUGUCCAUUUUCUUUUGGAUCGGUUUUGGACGCAUCCAGAACCAUCCUCAUGAGCUAUAAAUUGGCUAAUUUGUUUGCAUUUGUCUAGGGAUUGGUUUUGGACGCAUCCAAAACCAAUUUCAUUACCGCUAAAAUCAGUAAAUUGAUUUCCAUUUCCUUAUAUGAUUGGUUUUGGAUACAUCCAAAACCAUUCUCAUGAGCUACAUAUAUAUUGGCUAAUUUUCCUGCAUUUGUCCAGGGAUUGGUUUUGGAUGCAUCCAAAACCAAUCCCUAGACAAAUGCAAACAAAUGAG